AUCACGUUGAAAACAUCGGUUCCGGUAUGAUCAACGAAGUUAAGCAAAGUCGAACUUGUUCAGUACCUAUAUGAGUGACCACUUGGGAAUUCCAGGUGCUGUAA